rnacentral:rRNA from 1 species
AUGCUUAAAAUUGAUCUUGCCAAAGCCUUUGAUCAUCUAGAAUGGAAAUUAAUUAUUGGCGCUUUGGCACAUAAAGGGCUACACAAUCAUUUCAUCAAUCUCAUUUAUGCCUGCAUUUCUACUCCGGUCUUUUCCGUUAUCAUAAAUGGCCAAGAAUAUGCUAAAUUCAAAAGUAGCAGAGGCAUAAGACAAGGCUGUCCACUCUCUCCAUAUCUCUUUGUCCUUGCAAUUAAUGAAUUAUCUGUCUCCUUGCAGGAAGCUAUGAGACAUAACCAUCUUUCAGGUAUUUCCCUUGGACCAAACUGCCCCCCUAUCCACUCUCUCAUGUUUGCGGAUGAUCUUCUUGUUUGUGGCCAAGCUACACUCCAAGAAGCCACUAUUAUGAGUCAACUCAUUCAAUCUUUUUGUGCUAGAUCUGGCCAGAUCCCAAAUUGGAAUAAAUCUGGAAUUCUAUUUAGCAAAGGUAUAGACAGCAACAUUCAGCAAGCUAUAAAAAACAUCUUCCCUGUUGUUUCCAUUGAUAAUAACUUCAUUCAUCUAGGGCAUCCUCUCAUUCUGCCAGCAAAAGAUAGAUCCUCUACUUAUAAUUUUAUAGUUGAUAAAUUCAAAGCCAAACUCCCUACUUAUAAGGCCACCAAACUCUCUCAUGCCGGUAGGCUCACUCUUAUAAAUUCUGUGUUUGCUUCCAUCCCUAUAUAUUACAUGUCCAAUAUUCUUUUUCCCAAGAAGUUCCUAGCCAAACUCAAUUCAAUUAUUAGAAACUUCUGGUGGGCAGGAGUUAGAGAGGAAACUAAUGAGAGAUCUCUUUGCCUCAGGGCCUAG